CCUGUCUGUGGAUACAAUGGACCAGCUGUCUCAAGCGCCGGGUCUUGACAUCCCCACCAUGAUGAGUGUACCUAGAACUCCUUCAGACUCUGGCGGUUUCUGCUUGAGGCUACUACCUGGGGAACCAAGACAAAGCUCUCUGCAGACUGUCAGAUUGUCUCUGAAGAAAGUUCACAUUGUGAUAUGACAACACCCACUGCCUGAAGAUAUCUGCAGACAUCUGAGCUGCUGGUGACCUCCGCUCCUGACUCCUCCCACGAUGUUUAUGUUUUGCAAAUAUCAAUGUAACCUAGAGAUUCAGUUUCGGUUUCUCGUGUAUACAUAGAAAUGCUGAACACCCUAAGUAAAGUACGAAGCCUUGAUUGGGGCGCAA